rnacentral:lncRNA from 1 species
AUUGAAAUUAGAUGACCUUUCAGGUCCUUUUCAACCCAGGCUAUUCUAUGAUUCUCUGAUUCUCUGAUUCUAUGAUAAUGUUUUUUUAUAGACAGGCAAUAUGAAAGCAUGCAAUAAUGCAUGUCAUUGCAACUUUUUCAAGGAGCAGAUGGAUACAUAUCUGCAUUGAUAGUGACACAAAAGACAGAAUGUGAGAUUGGUCAACACAAAAACAAAGUUCAGAAGAACUGAAGAGGAUAAAAAUCUAAGAAAUAUGAGAAUACCAGAAGGGUAAUUAGAAACACUGGAGAUAGAAAAAUGUAUUCAUGGAAAUAGCAAAAACCAGAGAAGAUUUGCAAUACAUAGAAUUUGGUACAGAUGCCAUAAUCUCAGAAGAUACAAAGAAUUUGCAAUAAAAAAAAAAAAGAAGAAGAAGAAGAAAAAAAGAAAUCUUCUGAUGUUAGAAUAGUAGUCUUCAGUUAAAUACUUGUGGAAGUGGAAGCUGCGUUUAGAGUAAUUUACAUUUUAAAAGAAAAAAAAUACAAAAGGUUGUAGGAAAGAGAACAAAUUCCAAAUCCUGUUUCUUAACUUUGUUCAAAAUAUUAAAGUGAGCUGCUUUUGAUUGAAUUUGAAUUGACAGCAAAAAAAAAAUUCUCAUUUACUGUUAUUUGAUGCUUCGUUGAGUGACUUGUGGUUUGUUACUAGCUUUCUCAAUUGACUCUGCAACAAAAUAAUGGACAAGUGACACACUCUAUGAAAUAUGCAUUCCACUAAGAAGCUGUUUUUGACAUCUUGAAAAUCCUUGGCAGUAUUUAUGCUUGAAAUUAAACCAAACAUUGAGCAUGGAAGUUAUUAUGUAGAUGAAAUCCAAUUUUGCUAACUGUUAACACUGUAGAAUAUGCAGUAAUCCAUGUACUUUAUGUGCUGAUAAAUCUGAAACCACAGUAAAUGCAUAAUUAUGCCAUCAGUGAUAUCUGUUUCUGGUGUCUACUACUCAGAUAUUGUGCUAUCUACAGCUUUAUGCCUGAAAGUGCCACCAAGGAAGAAAUCUGUUUUUCUCAUAAGAAUAUGAAUAUGUUUAAACUGAAAAAACUUUGGCAUUAAAUAGCUGCAUUUGUAUUUUCAAGGAGCAGACUUUCAUUUUUGCCUGACUUUGAGGGAACACUCUGUAUUAAAUAUUUGGACAACUGGGAGUUUGUUCAAUCCCACACAUUUAAGGUACUAACACUAUUAAGAAUGUGCAUCUCCACAGGUGUAUUGGCAAAAUUCUCUCAAAUCUCUUCCCACAUUAAUAAGAGAAGCACUGUUUUGAUAAUUUCCCCUCCAGGACAGAAAUAAAUACAAUUUUUUUUAGGUAAGAAGUCAGACCAUAUUGUUCAGCAAUCAAUUGGUUCCAGUACUUACAGGUAGAGUUCAGAUAUAAUAGACAUAGACAGAAACAGAGACUGGCGGGGAGUUGGAGAUAGGGGAAAGAAGAGAGAAGAGCCAAGGGAAAUGGGAGAAAAGGAGGAGGAGAGAGAGAGUAGGUGAAAAGAAGUCACCAAUAUGUCAUUUCCAGAUGAAGCUACAUGGACAGCUGUAGGGUUUGGGUCUUUCUUUUUCUUCUGAUGCUGUUGGAGUAAAGAAUUUAUUGAUUCAUUGCCAUAUC